ACAAUAAUUAGGCUUGUUGUUUUCACAAGCUUGUUGCCUUAUCAAAUUUGCCGCAGUGUUCAGGAUCAUAAUGAAUUCUACAGAGUGAACUCUUAUGAUUCUGUUAUUUUGCUAAUGCAGGAACACGAUUCCAGCAUAGCCAUGCGCUGCACUUAUUGGUCAAGAUGCUCAGACAAUGGAGUGUCUAUUCCUCGUGGUUAACCAUGAAGAGUAUUCUCGCCUUUAUGAAAGCUAAAGGUUGAUAUUUCAAUACAGUUGGCUGCUACGGGCACUAGUGGCAUUAAAAUGAAGAUAUUUCUGGAUAUCUUGCUUCUACUAAUGACAUUCUAUGUACCAUACACUUACCAAUCUUCCUCCGAUACCGGUGCGCGAGUUCAAG